CCCGGCCCCCGCGGCCCCUGCCCCCACGCCCCUAGGAGCCCGACUGCCGCUGGCUCUCGGGGACGGGCCGGGGGUCCCGGGGCAGGGUCUGCAUCGCCCUCCCCGCAGUGCCCGCCUCUGGAGUCACCGGGGAGGGGACGGGAGGACAGUGCGGCCCGACAGAUUCCCCGUUAGCGGGGCUCACAGAAUGACGGCGGCCCCGGCCGGGGGCUGCCCUGCCGAGCCCCGACUGCCGAGCCCUACUGGGGCCGGGGUCCGCCGGGGCCCGACUGCGGCACGGGGCUCCAACGCCCCUGGACGGGCAUGGCCUGCCUGCCCCGCGCGGCCGACAGGUGGGGCCCACAGAAGCUCCCUCCGGAGCUGGAGGUCGGGCGGGAGCCACCCCAGAUCCGCCCCUGAGGGUCCCCUGAUGCAGGCCAGCCCCUGCCCUCCACCCACGCGGACAUGCUGCCCCCGUGAAGCCGAGCACGCUGAGGGUGCCCGGGGCUUCCCCAUCGGACACCCCAUCUGGGCUGCAGUCCACCUGAGUCACAGCAGGUGCGGAUCCCUGGGUCCUCGUUCUGGGAAGGAAAAUGGAAAUGCUCCUGCCCCCCCCCCCCCCAUCGCCUGCCCAGCUUCCCAUCCUGGGACCUCCUGCUUCCCAGGGAUUCUGGGGACCCCGUCCUCAGGGACAGCCGUGAGUAUGGCCUUCUUCCACCCUAAAGGGAGACACAGGGUUCUAGGGGCCAGGGGGUGGCUCUGACCCCUCCUUGGGGGUGCAGGACCCAGAGCCUGAUGCCUAGUAAGUUGACACAAGCAGGGUGUCCCCUGUGAAGGGACCAGGUGGUCAGUCAUGGGCACGCCCAGCCCCGUGGGGCCCACCGGCCAGGACGGCUUCCCGCCUAGGAAGGGCUGCAGGGACUGCCCGGGACAGCAGGGCCAGGGAGCAGAGGCACGGGUGUCCCCAUCCCCAGCUCGCCCCUGGAGCCAAGUCCUCUGGGAGUCUCUGGGGUGGGACAGUGGCUGACAGGAGACUGGUUGAGGGUCCUCCCCCCGCCCAGCCUGCCUGGCCCUGAGGACGGACGACCAGGUGUCUGCAGCGAAUGACACCACGAGUGUGGGCAGCCCUUUCAUCCUGGGCCCAGGCAAAGAGUCAUUACGGCUUCCCCCCGGCACCCGCCUCCCAGCCCCGGUGCCCCCCCCCCAGCCCCGCGGCCUCCGCUAAGAGCAGCUCCGCAAGCAGAGGGUCUGUGCGCCCCUCCCCAUCGGAGGCUCCCAGCAGGACAUGGUGGGGAGGCCCAGGGCCCCCGGGAAACUGGAUGUGACCUGAGCGAGGCUGAACCCCAACGCUGGUCUGCAGAGGACGUGAGGGGCCCAGGGCAGCCCAGGUGGACACGGAUAAGAGGCCAAUGGUGGGGGGAAGUCCGGGCAGCCGGGCCUGGCCCUGCUGGCUGUUCACCAGCUUCUGGUCUUUUCUCACCCGGGCAUCGCCGGCCCGCUCCCUGGUGCCCCCCAGCGGGGCCUCAUCUGUCUAGACAGCAGGUCUCGCCGUGGCCACGACAUCCAGGCAGACCCUCUGCACCCAGGGGAGAGGCAGGGAGGGGCACGACGUCCACCCAGCUGGAGCUGGCACACGGUUGUGCCAGGAGCUCCCCGAGCUGCAGACCCUAAGCCUGGGCUGAAGGUCACGUCCUCCCCAAGCCCGUGGGAGAGCCCCCGCCCUGCACGAUUCCCUCCACGAUCGCAGACUAGCGAGCCAACAGCCGGGUGUCCGCCAGCACGCCCCCGCCUGCAGACUUCGCCGGCCCUAGGGCUCCUGGGCGUGCUGGGGGUGGGGGCUCGCCCCCCUGCGUGCCCCCCUCUGGGAGGGCCCUGUCCACUCCAUACCUGGCCCAGCACAGCAGGGAGAGUCCUGGCACCUACAGUCCAGGGAGGGGGCAGGUGAGCGCACCUCUCAGCUCAGCAGGUCACCCCCACGCCCUCACGGCCUGCGGAUGGGCUCCUGCUCACCUAGGUCCUCAUUGGGAGCUCCAGGACCACAGAGCCGGCGUGUCACCGGCAUCUCACCCGCAGCUGUGCCCAGGACCCUAGCCCCUGCCCUGCCGGCAGCGACCCUUGGCCAAGGCGGCAUGAGAGGCCCCCAGGGUGUGCUCAGGGCCAGCGCUGAAUCCCCAUGUGACAGCAGGAGGGCCUGGCUGGCCCGCGACCCAGGGUGACCGCCCGCCCCGGUGUCUGG